GGAUUACCCAUGUCGAAGACAACAAAG
rnacentral:misc_RNA from 1 species